rnacentral:rRNA from 1 species
UACGUAGGGUGCGAGCGUUAAUCGGAAUUACUGGGCGUAAAGCGUGCGCAGGCGGUUCUCCAAGUCCGUUGUGAAAGCCCCGGGCUCAACCUUGGGAUGCCGGUCGAUACUGCCGGACUAGAGUUCGGAAGAGGCGAGUGGAAUUCCCGGUGUAGCGGUGAAAUGCGCAGAUAUCGGGAGGAACACCUAUGGCGAAGGCAGCUCGCUGGGACGUUACUGACGCUGAGACGCGAAGGCGUGGGGAGCAAACAGG